rnacentral:rRNA from 1 species
AGGGUUCGAUUCUGGCUCAGGAUGAACGCUGGCGGCGUGCUUAACACAUGCAAGUCGAACGGGAUCCAUCGGGCUUUGCUUGGUGGUGAGAGUGGCGAACGGGUGAGUAAUGCGUGACCGACCUGCCCCAUGCACCGGAAUAGCUCCUGGAAACGGGUGGUAAUGCCGGAUGCUCCAUCACACCGCAUGGUGUGUUGGGAAAGCCUUUGCGGCAUGGGAUGGGGUCGCGUCCUAUCAGCUUGAUGGCGGGGUAACGGCCCACCAUGGCUUCGACGGGUAGCCGGCCUGAGAGGGCGACCGGCCACAUUGGGACUGAGAUACGGCCCAGACUCCUACGGGAGGCAGCAGUGGGGAAUAUUGCACAAUGGGCGCAAGCCUGAUGCAGCGACGCCGCGUGAGGGAUGGAGGCCUUCGGGUUGUAAACCUCUUUUGUUAGGGAGCAAGGCAUUUUUGUGUUGAGUGUACCUUUCGAAUAAGCACCGGCUAACUACGUGCCAGCAGCCGCGGUAAUACGUAGGGUGCAAGCGUUAUCCGGAAUUAUUGGGCGUAAAGGGCUCGUAGGCGGUUCGUCGCGUCCGGUGUGAAAGUCCAUCGCUUAACGGUGGAUCCGCGCCGGGUACGGGCGGGCUUGAGUGCGGUAGGGGAGACUGGAAUUCCCGGUGUAACGGUGGAAUGUGUAGAUAUCGGGAAGAACACCAAUGGCGAAGGCAGGUCUCUGGGCCGUUACUGACGCUGAGGAGCGAAAGCGUGGGGAGCGAACAGGAUUAGAUACCCUGGUAGUCCACGCCGUAAACGGUGGAUGCUGGAUGUGGGGCCCGUUCCACGGGUUCCGUGUCGGAGCUAACGCGUUAAGCAUCCCGCCUGGGGAGUACGGCCGCAAGGCUAAAACUCAAAGAAAUUGACGGGGGCCCGCACAAGCGGCGGAGCAUGCGGAUUAAUUCGAUGCAACGCGAAGAACCUUA